AGAAAUUAUAUUUACAGCCCCUGUUCCUGCUGAUACCACCAAAUCUAAAAAGCAAGAAAUGACAAAAAUUUGCAUACCUGGACGACCGAUCCCACAUCCUCUUGAGCAAGGUUCAUUUAUUUGCCAACACGAUUGCGGUGACAUUGUUAACACAGCAGAGGAGUCGUUAGUAUUGUUU